rnacentral:ncRNA from 2 species
UCGCAGCAUUCUGGAGAGACCCGCUUCCCGAUCCGGGCGCGGGCGCCGAAGGUGAACCCCCUGCAGUGCGGGGCAACUCUCAGGCAAAAGGACAGAAGGGCGCUG